GUUUUCGUGGCCUAGUGGUUAGGGCGUCUGUCUUACAUGCAUCAACUAGACUCUGUUCUAGUUUCAGGAUGAUCACAGAAGAUCCCCGGUUCAAUCCCGGGCGGAAACA